AUUGAACGCUGGCGGCAGGCCUAACACAUGCAAGUCGAACGGUAGCACAGAGAGCUUGCUCUCGGGUGACGAGUGGCGGACGGGUGAGUAAUGUCUGGGAAACUGCCUGAUGGAGGGGGAUAACUACUGGAAACGGUAGCUAAUACCGCAUAACGUCGCAAGACCAAAGAGGGGGACGUUCGGGCCUCUUGCCAUCAGAUGUGCCCAGCUGGGAUUAGCUAGUAGGUGGGGUAACGGCUCACCAAGGCGACGAACCGUAGCUGGUCUGAGAGGAUGACCAGCCACACUGGAACUGAGACACGGUCCAGACUCCUACGGGAGGCAGCAGUGGGGAAUAUUGCACAAUGGGCGCAAGCCUGAUGCAGCCAUGCCGCGUGUGUGAAGAAGGCCUUCGGGUUGUAAAGUACUUUUGGCGGGAAGGAAGGUGAUGAGGUUAAUAACCUGAGCAAUUGACGUUACCCGCAGAAGAAGCACCGGCUAACUCCGUG
rnacentral:rRNA from 1 species